UAUGUAGGUGGCAAGCGUUGUCCGGAUUUACUGGGUGUAAAGGGCGCGUAGGCGGGAUUCCAAGUCAGAUGUGAAAUCUCCGGGCUUAACCCGGAAAUUGCGUUUGAAACUGUAGUUCUUGAGUAUCGGAGAGGCAAGCGGAAUUCCUAGUGUAGCGGUGAAAUGCGCAGAUAUUAGGAGGAACACCAGUGGCGAAGGCGGCUUGCUGGACGACAACUGACGCUGAGGCGCGAAAGCGUGGGGAGCAAAC
rnacentral:rRNA from 1 species